AUUGGUUUAAGUUUGCUUGGAAUGACUCGAAUUUUAGGAUAUACCUCUGGAGAUCGCCUUGGUUGGAGCUUGGAACUGAAUUUAGAGCAAUUGCUGGUGUAAAUUACAACUGUUUUGAGCUUAAUAAUUUUUAAAUUCCAACAUUAUUAUAUAUAUAUUAUUGACAAGAUAUUAGAGCUUACUUGUAGACUGGAAACUUAUAUGACCAGAAAUCACAAUGUAUUGUGGAAAUUAACCAGAAUAAAAUUAAUUCAAAUAAUAUAAAAUAUUAAAAAAAAGGUAGGGCCUCGUGUUUCCCGCGUAGAAGCGGAGAUAUAGCAGUUUCUUCCCGUGAAGUUGGUGCGAUUUUGAAGAGGUAAUAUGUCGGUUGGGCUGUUAACCAAUCUCUCAAUUCACGAUCAAGGAAGAGAUGUAAACUCUUGUGAUCCCUUAACAAUGUUUCUUCAAAUGUAGCCUACUUCGGAUUCGAUGAUGGAGACAUCGACAUUGACACUGAUUCACAAAUACGCAGCGGCUGCUCUGUUUUCUGUUGCUCUUCACCAGUCUCAGAUCUACCAAAAGAGACCUUCGAAUCUUCUUCAGCCUCUCCACAAAGAACCAAUUGAAUUGAAGGAGUACUAAGCGUUGAUUGCUUGGAUUGGAGGAUCAAGCUCGGGAUGGGGUGAAGGAAACAGCUGGUUCUUCGCAAUUGAGGCAUCAUGUUGGAGCGAACCUCAUAAAAAAGCACAGAGCACACAUCCCAAGAUCUCCAAUGAGGAGAAAGUCCCUAAUGAAUCUGGAGUUGGAACUUCAGAAAGCCAUGGAAGAGAGAAACUUUCUCAGUUACCAGAGGUAAGUGACAAUUCUUUAUGAAUUUCUUUCAGCUUGUGUCAUAGAGUCAUAGACUAUGGCGAAGGUGACAAAAAAUCUGUUCAGCUAAAAAAAGGUAAUAAUGCUUGCCACCGCGUGGCUUUACAGUUUCUGGCUACAUGGCUCAGAGUCGAAUGGAAAGAAAUGGUUUGUUUAGUCGUCCUAUACAUACAAUUUGUAAGCUCCUUAUUAUAUAUUUUCUGUGGACAGCCUUGCCCCUUUAGUAAGAAUACUAUCCUUAUUUGCUUUUGUGUUGUGGUGCUUCGAUGCUGACCUGCACAAGCUGUGAACUGAAUCCUAUCUGUCUUCCAUGGACAAUUCUUCUCUCUUAGGAAGCCGUGAGAUAAUGGUUGCUUUCUCUCUAAUGGAUGUAGUAAAAAGGAAGCCAACAAAGGAGAUGGGAACAUAAUUUCAGAAAUGACCUUGGAUAAGUUAAAAGUGUGGAGGUAUCAUUGCUGCAGCCGCUACUGGAGGAACCUUGAUGGCUGUUACUGGUGUUGCAGAGUCUAUUUUAUUUGUAAUAGAUCCAAAAUUUUGUUUGCUAUGACAAUCAGUUGUAAAUUACUAUCUCCUAUUGCACCUUUGCAGCCCCAGGGAUUGCAGGGGGCUCCUAUGUUGGUUAGUAUGGUCCCCAUAAUUGGAGCUUGUGGGUUUGCUGCAGCAGCUAGCGCUACAGGAUCUUUGCUGGUUCUCUUGCUGUUGCAGCAUCAUUUGGAGAUAUUGAGCUAGGAUACUGGAUUAAUUUCUAAUCUCAUCUAUAGUUUCUUAGUUCGCAGUUUUUAUGCUUAUAAGUUGGAACUAGAGUUCUCUGUGCAAUAAGAUGGAAUUUAGAUAUCUAGAACUUCAAUAUCAACUCUUUCUCCUUAAUCAUAUGCGUUCAUAUAUGGUGCAUGCACGCAAAUGAAGCUACUAAAUUCUAUUGGAAAAUGCUUCAGCUUCUUCAUGGCACCACAAAAAAGUUUUCAGUGUGCCACUAUAAUCCUUCAAAUAAAUAUUACAUGUCUGCCAAUCCUGACAAUUAAUCUCAGCUGGUGGUUUUUUCUACAUUUUGUUGGAGUUCAAUUUCUGUGUGACGGGUGAGCAACUCAAAACUAUGAACUAACAAAUAUUCUUGUGUAAAACAACUAAUAACAAAUAUCAUCUUAAUAGUAAAGAAGAACAUGUUACUUGCAGCAAAUAGUUGCUCAGAACCAUUACUGUUCUGCAGUAACCAAAGUCAAAGCAAAUAAAGUUUCCCAAUACAAGAUGUUUUCAGUGUGGAAGGUGGUUGUAUGCUUAUAUUCCUCUUUGAAAGUGAUACUAAUGAAUUUUAAGCGACCUUGUGAAAAGCUUCAUUUACUUGUAUUUACUUACCAAUCAUAAGGAAAACAAUCAGCGAAUAGAAGGAUUUGUUGGCAUAAAUUUUGUGCUUGUGACAAAUUUGAAGAGAAAAAAUAAUGUGGAACUAAUCACUCUUUCUGCCUCCCAGCACCUGGAGCUCGCCUUACAGGGAGUAAAAUAACAAGAAAAAUUGGCAGCUUGAUGAAUAUGAGUUCAAAGAAAUUAGGGAGAAUCACAACCAAUGCGUGAAUCUUGCUAUACAUUUUACUUGUUAACAAUAAUAUCUCUUUAAAUGUUGGUAGGGCUAUAGCUUGUUUUAAGACCUAAUAAAUUGGUAUGCUCAUUAUCAUGUACAUUAUACCUACAAGGUCUUUAUUUUAGGGCAUCUUCCUGAAAUAUUAUUAUUUAUGAGAACUUGACAUAGGUUACAAUAGCAUUUCUUGAUAGCAGCUAGUAGUUGGAAUCUUGAUUUCUGAACUUGUCUUUGAGGUUGAAGAUUUUAUAGCGCCAUGGGAAGGUCAUACUGCCUUCACCAAGGGAAUCAAAACCCUCAUGUCCUAUGAGUUCCAUCCUCAAGGUUGUGGGGUCUCAUGAUAGAGUGGUUGGCUGCCUUAGUUUUUAUGUUAUCUUGAGUUUCCUCUCCUCACUUUUUAAUAUUUACCAGCCUGCUUAUUUGGGUUUCUGAUGCAUUUACUAGAAACAAGUUAAGGAUUUUGCCCUUGUUUAUCUUAUUCCAAUAACCAUCCGUGAUGAGCUAUUCUUGUUUUAAGGGAAAUUUAAGGAGAAAUUUUGAAAGGAUAGCUAAAUGCAUAGUAAAUAAAACAAUGAUUGUCCUUAUAUGCAGGGACAAGUCUGUUAUGAUUGGAGCUAUUUAAUCAGCUGCAGAAUUUAUGAAUGAUUUAUCCACAAAUACACUUGUUUUCUAUGGCUUCUUUAAUUUCCUAAAAAUUCCUGUAGGAAGUGAAUAACUAAAUUUCCCAUGCUAUUUUUCCCCUCAUUUGGAGAUAAUGCUUAAAAUAUGAUGCAUGCUAUUAAGCCUUAAACCUUAUGGGGUACCUGGAAUUAAUUAAUUGAUAGUAAAUGGAUAUAAUUUAGACUUACUUUAAUCUAAUCUUCAUAACUCUUUCCAUAUUCCAUACUCCCUAAUAAUCUCUGUUCUAUUGUAGUAUUUGAUUUGCUGAAAGCCUGAAAUUUGUCAUUGAUAUAAUUGCAUCUGAUAUGCAAGUAGGCCCUGCAGUGGGAGUCUGAGAAUUUGAUUGCUCUGAGCACUGCAAUAAAGGACUGGCUUGCCUCAAGUACUCUAAACUUUUAUGAUUAUCACAAUUCUGUAAUUGCUGCUAUUAUCAUUUUUGUAAUGGAAUGUCUUGUUGCAGAAAUUGCUGUGCAGUUGAUGACAAAGGGUGGCGUGUUGACUGUAUUAGGCAGUCUUUUAAGAGCACUAGCUUUACCAGCAGCUGUACUGACUGCAACUGGUCUUAUGGACAGCAAAUGGGCGAUUGGAGUUGACAGGUGAUCAUCAAUAAUGCUGUUGGAAGAUGGUUAACAUAAAUUUCAUUCUCAUCAUUGUUGAAAUGGAUGGUUCAUCCCAAGUUUUCAAUAGACAAAUGUAUAAAUUUUUUUGUUCAAUUGAUUUCUCCACGCAAUGUAUUGUUUUGGCAGAUGAUGAUUUUGGUAUCCUCGAUUGCCUAAAAAUAUACUUUAAAGAUGGGUGGGAAGCCAACUUUGAAAGAGUGAAGUAUUCAUUUCUAUUUCACUACCACCAUGCCAAUAAUUUCUCUUCGAGUUCUAUGAUUAGGAUAGCAUCACAAUUUUUUAAGCUAGUCAAAGGCCAUCUUUACCGUGUCAAAUUUAAAUGCCAACGUUCUGGUGUGGUCACAUUGAAUACAUUCAUCAUCAUUUUUAUAAUUAUUUGCCCCCAAUUUUCCAGACUUUUUUCAUAGUUUCUUUCUAUAUUAUGUAUUAUGCCAUGUUGCAACACUCUUGGUUUGAUAUGAUGGUAGGCUUGCAAUUUUUGCAUAUUAAAUUUUCUUCCCCUCACAAUUCCAUGCGCAGAUCUGAUAAAGCUGGAAAGGUUUUUUUGCUAAAGGGAUUGCAUUGGUACAGGUAAAAUUAUUAUGUAUUAUGACGAUGUACAAAUUUAUUCUUAAUGGCGUCAUUUGUCUUAUGAAUUAGUUAUUUUACACUCUUUAUGCAUUUUUGAGACCUGUAACGCUUAUAGGUUUCUCUGUGGAGGCCCCGAGUAAUUUUCAAAUGUCACCAAUGUUUGGCUGAAACUGAAGGAGAUAAUGGAGUUGUUCUUCUUGGAGCGCCAGUUUCAAUGAAGGAUGAAAAAUGGGAGGACGUUAGGAAGAUAGUGGCCUGUAGAAUUAUCAGUGUUUAUUCUAUAAAUGAUUGGACGCUUGGAGUUACUUACGGUUCCAGGUAGAUAGCUAAUCUUUUUCUGGUUUUUGGCAUAUCUUGAUGAAUUUGGGAAACUCAUAAAUCGUCAGAACGUUGAAUGCAGACAAUAUUGUUAGCAUACUCAUAAAGGUGAACAGAAGCAAAUUGCAUUGGGUAAUGUAGGUUAUGCUGUUUACAAUAGGAUCAUCCAGACUCUAAUUUUUCUAUGCUAUUCAUUGUAUUAUUGAAUAUUAAUGCAUUACUGAAAUGUACAUCCUAAAAUUCCUAGGAGUUAACCAGUUCCUUUAGUGUGGCAUAC